rnacentral:rRNA from 1 species
UACGUAGGGAGCAAGCGUUGUUCGGAUUUAUUGGGCGUAAAGAGCUCGUAGGCGGCUUGUCACGUCGGAUGUGAAAGCCCGAGGCUUAACCUCGGGUCUGCAUUCGAUACGGGCUAGCUAGAGUGUGGUAGGGGAGAUCGGAAUUCCUGGUGUAGCGGUGAAAUGCGCAGAUAUCAGGAGGAACACCGGUGGCGAAGGCGGAUCUCUGGGCCAUUACUGACGCUGAGGAGCGAAAGCGUGGGGAGCGAACAGG